rnacentral:rRNA from 1 species
UACGAAGGGGGCUAGCGUUGCUCGGAAUCACUGGGCGUAAAGCGCACGUAGGCGGGUUGUUAAGUCGGGGGUGAAAUCCUGGAGCUCAACUCCAGAACUGCCUUCGAUACUGGCGACCUUGAGUCCGGAAGAGGUGAGUGGAACUCCGAGUGUAGAGGUGAAAUUCGUAGAUAUUCGGAAGAACACCAGUGGCGAAGGCGGCUCACUGGUCCGGUACUGACGCUGAGGUGCGAAAGCGUGGGGAGCAAACAGG